rnacentral:lncRNA from 1 species
UCUUUUCAUUUUUAAACACUUCAUUUCCCCAACCCUGCUAGAUGUAAGCCACACACAUUUAUAUUAGGAUUUUCAGAGCCUCUGGGUUUCUUGCUGGUGGUGCCUGUCAGGACCGCGGCUCCUUGCAUUAGCCAGGCUGUGAUGGGCUUUCAAGCAAAAGGAGCAACUCCACAGAAACAGAUGUUAACAUCCCUGGGCACAGCAAGCCCUCUCCCUGUGAUUUUUCUCUCCAAAUUUGCAUUCGUGCUGUCAGGUGGGGAAUUGUGCAGAAUGACAAUUGAUGCCACCAGUGAAAGAAGUUAGGAUGGGAAUGAGAGAUGGUGGGGAGAAUCAGACUCAUUAUUUAAUGGCUCCAGAAGGGGACAUGAACUCUCUUGCCAGAUGCAAUUCCAAGCAAAUUACAUAUAUUUUUGCAUUUGAUUCUCCAACAAACCUACAAAGUGGGUCUUAUUAUCAUGUCCAUUUUACAGAUGAAAAAGUUGGGAUACUGAGAAAUCAAAUAAUGCACAGUAUAGUAAAGGGGCAGAUCUGGGAUUAAACGUGGACUCUCUGGCUCUACCCCGCAGUGUCCUCCACACUAUGUGUGUGAGGUUUCCCAGGACAGUCUCUGCCCUCAACAAGCCUUCGUUCAGUAAGGAAGCAAGUAGGAUGUAUCUUUAUCUUUAUCUUUUGUACCUUUAUGUAAUUUAUCUUUGGUACAUCUCUAUUUCUGUAGGAUGAAUUCCCAUAUGAUAUAGUGUAAUUUUUUUUAACGGCCACACCUGUGGCAUAUGGAAGUUUCUGGGCCAGGGAGUGAAUCUGAGCAGCAGCUGCCAGCCUAUGCCACAGCUGUAGCAACAGUGGAUCCUUUAACCCACUGUGCUAGGCCAGGGAUCAAACGCACACCUCCACAGCCUUUAAGAGCAUAUACUGAAUUAGACAAGUAUUCCCAAACCUGGCAUUUCAAGACCCUUCUUCUAGUUGUGUAUUAGGCUCCUUACGCACACUAUCCAGUCGUUACAGUGCACCAAGGCAGGUGGUCUUGUCUUCAAUUUAUAAGUCUAGAGAUUGAGAUUGAUAUCACUAAUAGAUGGGUCUUUGAAUCCAGGCCUGUGAAGGAUGUGUUCUUUUCCUAAGCGACUCUCACCAAUGCUCCACCCACUCCGCAGAGGAGGGAGGCAGGCAUCACACUGCAGGAGCCAGGCUGGCUGGAUUUGAACCCUGCUUUACAUCUAGCCUUGUGAUCUCAUGCAAUAAUUGUCCUCGUCGGUAUUUGCUUCCUCACUUCUAAAAUGUGGAUACUAACAGGACUCUUCUCAGAGGGGUGUGGUGAGGGUUGCAUUGUUAAUAUACGUAAAGUGCUUAGAUUUGUGCCUGGUGCGUUGUAAGUACUAAUUACCUUUAUUAUCACCUUCAUCAUCAUCCUUUUUUCUAUUACCGUCGUGAAACCAGGUACACUGGCCAUUUCCCAGACACAACUUGGUAAUUGACCUAUGCCUCUGUUCGCAGUGUUUACUUUUUGCAUGCUUGCCCCAUCCCUUCACACAACUAACUUGAUGGCUAAUAUUUAUUGAUGGGGCUGGUGAAGAAAACCCUCCUUAUCCUCCCAAGGCCAUUCUCUUCCUUAUUGUCCACGACUCUCCCUUUCUCUUACACUACCUAUACCUCUUUUACAUUUUUCAUCCUGUCUGGUUUUAGAGUUGUGUAUAUAUACAAGAAUGUAUUAUUUACAAGCAAAUAAAUAGGAACAACAAAGACAUUUUUUUCAAAAAAAGAGUUCUAGAUUGUAUAAAUAACACAAGACAUAUGAUGGAGUGCUAUAAAGACAUUAAAAAUGCUAUUUUGGAGGACUCGAUGACUAAAUGCUCAUGGUGAAUUAUUAAAAGAAAUAGGUUAUAGAACAGUAUAUGUAGUAUGAUCUCAUAAAUAUAUAAACCUGUGUACAUGUCUAUAAAAAGCCAAAAAGCUAUAAAAUAAUGUUUACAGCAUUUCUUCACCACUGGAACUAUGGGUAUUAUAGUUUUCUCCUUUGUAUAUUUUCUAUUUUCCAAAUUUUCAGAGGGAAUAUUUAUAAAAGGUGUUUAUAUGUUUUUAAUAUGUUUUACAACCUUAGGGGAGUUCCUGUAGUGACUCGGGAAACUAAUCCAACUAGUAGCCAUGAGGUUGCCAGUUCCAUCCCUGGCCUUGCUCAGUGGGUUAAGGAUCCAGCGUUGCAGCUCAGAUCUUGCAUUACUGUGGCUGUGGCUGGUAGCUGUAGCUCCAAUUUGACCCCUAGCCUGGGAACUUCCAUAUGCCGCAGGUUUGGCCCUAAAAAGCAAACAAACAAACAAAUAAACAAGCAAAAAAACCACACCCCCAAAACUUUGGAUAUACAACUUUAAUUGGGAAAUUUUUAGUAACAGUAGUAAACCCACAAGAGGGAAAGUGAUUCUGAAGCAUAUAUCUGGUCGAUAUGGCAGGUUACCAGGUAUUUUGUUUUGCUUCUAAUUGUUUUAUAGAUUAGCUAUUUUUGUUUUUAGGGUAAGGAUUCAGAAUUUGAAAAAAAAUUUUUUUUGUCUCUUUUUUUAGGGCUGCACCCACAGCAUAUGGAGAUUUCCAGGCUAGGGGUCGAAUUAGAACUGUAGCUUCCAGCCUACGCCACAGCCACAGCAAUGCAGGAUCUAAGCUGCAUCUACAACUUACACCACAGCUCAUGGCAGUGCUGGAUCCUUAACCCACUGAGCGAGGCCAGGGAUCAAACUUGCAUCCUCAUGGAUACUAGUCAGAUUUGUUUCCACUGAGCCAUAACCAGAAAUCCUGAAAACAUUUUGAAUAAAUAAGUUAGGAGUUCUCUGGCAGCUCAGUGGGUUAAAGACCCAUCACUGUCACUGCUGGGGUGCUGGUUCCAUCCCAGGCUUGGGAACAUCUGAAUGCCGUGGGCAUGGCCAAAAUAUAAACAAACAAGUAAAUAAACUUUAUGUCAAUGCAAAUACCGAAAUCUUUUUCCAUUGCUAAACUUUUCAGAACUGGGGCUUUCAUCCUGGUCAGCCAGGGAGGAGAUGGGUACUAACUGAAGAGACUGCACAGAGAAGUAUCUUAAAGGUGCAGAAGAGGCAUUAGUUCUGCUGCCAUGAAAAUGGGGGAAGAUGUAGGCUUCACCUUACUGUGGGCUUUCUCCCUGUUUCAGCAAAUCUUAGUGUUAUGACUGAAAAAACAAUAAAUUAUUAAUGUCUAUACUUAAGAAGCUGAGGAGAGGUGUUUUAUGAACACCACUGUGACCAUGAAAUCCAUUUUACUGUGGCAGCGGUUUUAUUUUCUUAAAUUCAUGGUGACAUGCUCCUCUGAUUCAUGUAGGGUGGCAGGCGCAUUGCCUUAUGAGGUGGGUCUCUGGCUUAAAAGCAUCCUGGAACCAAAAGAAGUCUGGACAGCAAUGGGAGGCUUGCUGGUCUGCAAAAAGGUCCCAGUGAGUGAGUUGCCUCAGGAUCAGCUCCGCGCACGUGCCAAGGGCUCAGGGGAAGAAGGGAUGGAGUUGCAAUAGGAACAGGUUAGGAUCGCAGGGGUCCUUAAUGCUAUCAUAUAAUGGAGGUGGAGGUCUCACCUUGUGGCUGUAGGCUUUAGACUGGAUUCCAUUGGAGGGUAGUGACUAUAAACUUUCAUUGGAGUUGUAAUACUGACAUUUAUUUGAUUUUUACUGUAAUCAUGUGUUUGUAGGAGUUUUCUAGUAGUACAGCGGGUUAAGGAUCCAGCAUUGUCACUGCAGCAGCUGGGGUCUCUGCUGUGGUACAGGUUUGAUCCCUGGCCCAGGAACUUCCAUAUGCUGGGG